rnacentral:misc_RNA from 1 species
AUAAACUUAUUUGAAUGUAGAUUAGUACAUCAUUGGCAGGGUCAUUAGUCCAACAACUACUGCGAUCAUCAUAAGUCCUUGUUUUUGCGAUGAAGUAAUCAUUACUAUUCUCCUUUAAUGUAUUCUCUCAUUGCUUGUUAAAUAGAAUACCACCAUUUUCAGUCUUUGAUCAAGUGCUGAUUCCUCUAAAGCUUAAAAAAAUAACUUUUCUAUGACAUUUUCGGCUGUUUUUACCUUGGUAAGGGUGUGCUUUUGUCUGUUGAUAUUAUGCAUUAUUAUGUUUCAUUUG